rnacentral:rRNA from 1 species
AGAGUUUGAUCCUGGCUCAGAACGAACGCUGGCGGCGUGGUUUAGGCAUGCAAGUCGAGCGCGAAAGUUCCUUCGGGGACAAGUAGAGCGGCGAAAGGGUGAGUAAUGCUUGGGCAACUUACCUCUUGGACCGGGAUAGCCAUUGGAAACGAUGGGUAAUACCGGAUGGUCUCGUGGUGGCUGCGGCCACUACGAGUAAAGGUGGGGUCUUUGACCUCGCGCCAGGAGAGAGGCUCGAGCCCUACCAGCUUGUUGGUGAGGUAACGGCUCACCAAGGCGAAGACGGGUAGCCGGACUGAGAGGUUGGCCGGCCACACUGGCACUGAGACACUGGCCAGACUCCUACGGGAGGCUGCAGUCGAGAAUCUUCCGCAAUGGGCGAAAGCCUGACGGAGCGACGCCGCGUGGAGGAAGAAGGCCUUCGGGUUGUAAACUCCUGUCAGAGUUUAUGAAACCAGGCGGGUUAAUACCCCGUCCUGCUGACAAAGGACUCAAAGGAAGCCACAGCUAACUUCGUGCCAGCAGCUGCGGUAAUACGAAGGUGGCAAGCGUUGUUCGGAUUCACUGGGCAUAAAGGGCGCGUAGGCUGUCCUGUAAGCGGUGUGUGAAAGCCCGGGGCUCAACCCCGGAACUGCAUACCGAACUGCAGGGCUAGAGGACGAGAGGGGAGUAUGGAACUCUAGGUGGAGCGGUGAAAUGCGUAGAUAUCUAGAGGAACGCCGGUGGCGAAAGCGAUACUCUGGCUCGUCCCUGACGCUGAGGCGCGAAAGCGUGGGUAGCAAACAGGAUUAGAUACCCUGGUAGUCCACGCCGUAAACGAUGAGCACUA